UGCAAGUCGAACGGUAACAGAAAGCAGCUUGCUGCUUUGCUGACGAGUGGCGGACGGGUGAGUAAUGUCUGGGAAACUGCCUGAUGGAGGGGGAUAACUACUGGAAACGGUAGCUAAUACCGCAUAACGUCGCAAGACCAAAGAGGGGGACCUUAGGGCCUCUUGCCAUCGGAUGUGCCCAGAUGGGAUUAGCUAGUAGGUGGGGUAACGGCUCACCCAGGCGACGAUCCCUAGCUGGUCUGAGGGGAUGACCAGCCACACUGGAACUGAGACACGGUCCAGACUCCUACGGGAGGCAGCAGUGGGGAAUAUUGCACAAUGGGCGCAAGCCUGAUGCAGCCAUGCCGCGUGUAUGAAGAAGGCCUUCGGGUUGUAAAGUACUUUCAGCGGGGAGGAAGGGAGUAAAGUUAAUACCUUUGCUCAUUGACGUUACCCGCAGAAGAAGCACCGGCUAACUCCGUGCCAGCAGCCGCGGUAAUACGGAGGGUGCAAGCGUUAAUCGGAAUUACUGGGCGUAAAGCGCACGCAGGCGGUUUGUUAAGUCAGAUGUGAAAUCCCCGGGCUCAACCUGGGAACUGCAUCUGAUACUGGCAGGCUUGAGUCUCGUAGAGGGGGGUAGAAUUCCAGGUGUAGCGGUGAAAUGCGUAGAGAUCUGGAGGAAUACCGGUGGCGAAGGCG
rnacentral:rRNA from 1 species